CCUACGGGAGGCAGCAGUAAGGAAUAUUGGUCAAUGGACGCAAGUCUGAACCAGCCAUGCCGCGUGAAGGAUUAAGGCCCUCUGGGUUGUAAACUUCUUUUAUAGGGGACGAAAAAAGGGCAUUCUUGCUCACUUGACGGUACCCUAGGAAUAAGCACCGGCUAACUACGUGCCAGCAGCCGCGGUAAUACGUAGGGUGCAAGCGUUAAUCGGAAUUACUGGGCGUAAAGCGUGCGCAGGCGGCUUUGCAAGACAGAUGUGAAAUCCCCGGGCUCAACCUGGGAACUGCAUUUGUGACUGCAUGGCUAGAGUACGGUAGAGGGGGAUGGAAUUCCGCGUGUAGCAGUGAAAUGCGUAGAUAUGCGGAGGAACACCGAUGGCGAAGGCAAUCCCCUGGACCUGUACUGACGCUCAUGCAACGAAAGCGGUGGGGAGACAAACGAGGUAAUUAGACUACCCUAGGUAGUCCACCGACCCUAAAACGAUGUACAACUGGUUGGUUGGGUAGGGUUUCUUCUCAGUAACGAAGACUAACGCGUAGAAGUUGACCGCCGUGGGGAGUACGGCCGCGUAAGGUUAGUAAAACUUAAAGUUAGUAAGUUAGACGG
rnacentral:rRNA from 1 species